rnacentral:rRNA from 1 species
GACGAACGCUGGCGGCGUGCUUAACACAUGCAAGUCGAACGAUGAUGCUGGAGCUUGCUAGGUCGAUUAGUGGCGAACGGGUGAGUAACACGUGACUAACCUGCCCCUUUCUCUGGGAUAACGCUCCGAAAGGAGUGCUAAUACCGGAUACUCACACCGAGGCACAUGCCUUGGUGUGGAAAGUUUUUCGGAAAGGGAUGGAGUCGCGGCCUAUCAGCUUGUUGGUGAGGUAACGGCUCACCAAGGCGACGACGGGUAGCCGGCCUGAGAGGGCGACCGGCCACACUGGGACUGAGACACGGCCCAGACUCCUACGGGAGGCAGCAGUGGGGAAUAUUGCACAAUGGGCGCAGGCCUGAUGCAGCGACGCCGCGUGAGGGAUGAAGGUCUUCGGAUUGUAAACCUCUUUCAGUAGGGACGAAGCGAAAGUGACGGUACCUAAAGAAGAAGCACCGGCUAACUACGUGCCAGCCGCCGCCGUAA